UACGUAGGGGGCAAGCGUUGUCCGGAUUUAUUGGGCGUAAAGAGCGUGUAGGCGGCUGGGUAGGUCCGUUGUGAAAACUCGAGGCUCAACCUCGAGACGCCGAUGGAAACCCUCCAGCUAGAGUCCGGAAGAGGAGAGUGGAAUUCCUGGUGUAGCGGUGAAAUGCGCAGAUAUCAGGAAGAACACCCGUGGCUAGGCGGCUCUCUAGUACGGUACUGACGCUGAGACGCGAAAGCGUGGGGAGCGACAGG
rnacentral:rRNA from 1 species